rnacentral:rRNA from 1 species
UACGGAGGGUGCAAGCGUUAAUCGGAAUUACUGGGCGUAAAGCGUGCGUAGGCGGUUCGUUAAGUCUGUUGUGAAAGCCCCGGGCUCAACCUGGGAAUGGCAAUGGAUACUGGCGAGCUAGAGUGUGUCAGAGGAUGGUGGAAUUCCCGGUGUAGCGGUGAAAUGCGUAGAGAUCGGGAGGAACAUCAGUGGCGAAGGCGAGUCCCUGGACACUUCCUGACACUGAGGCACGAAAGCUAGGGGAGCAAACAGG